rnacentral:rRNA from 1 species
UACGGAGGGAGCUAGCGUUAUUCGGAAUUACUGGGCGUAAAGCGCACGUAGGCGGCUUUGUAAGUUAGAGGUGAAAGCCUGGAGCUCAACUCCAGAACUGCCUUUAAGACUGCAUCGCUUGAAUCCAGGAGAGGUGAGUGGAAUUCCGAGUGUAGAGGUGAAAUUCGUAGAUAUUCGGAAGAACACCAGUGGCGAAGGCGGCUCACUGGCUCAUUACUGACGCUCAGGCGCGAUAGCGUGGGGAUCAAACAGG